AGUAGGUUUCCUUUAAUUCAGACUUCAGUAGUUGUAAUUGUAACAGAUAUUCCACAAGGAUAGCUGGAUAUGAAUAUAAAUGAAGACACUAUUGCAGCUAGCUUUGCAGAUUCUAGUUGUCGUUUAUGUAAAUAAUAUGAGUGUAAGAAUUCACAUCAUCAGAGCUGAGAGUACAGAGUCUCUAAAAAUAGCCCAGUGUUUAUGAGGCAGAAAAACCUCACAUAGAGGAGAAAUGGGUAUUAUGGCGUUUGUGUUACAACUUUGAUUUUCCAUUCUGAUCUCAAUCCUUGGUGGUUUUGAGGUGGUUUCUGGCUCUGUUAUUUCUGUCAUUGUUUUGAAUGUGUAUACAUCUUGCUUGACAGUACGAUGGGUAAAAAUAUUGUUUUCUCAUCACUGGGAACUGUUUGUUGUUUUACAUACAGAGGAGCAGGCAGAGCCAGCAAUAUGUAAAUUAAUUGUUUGUCUUGCCCCAAAGAAACAGGCUCUAGACGAAGAUGAAUUCUAAGUGAAGUGUGAAUGUACUGCCUAGUGCUGUGGUGCACGAGUGGGGGAAGUUAAAUUGUAUAAUCUUCAGUGCCUGUUGAAAGAUCUGGGCGAAGAAUUAACAUUUUAUGGCUUAUCACUCUAGCAAAGACAUUGGAAAGAAAAGGAAGUUUUGAUUGGUUAAUAUAUGCACAUCCUGAGAAUUUUAGAUUGUUGAGUGUAAUACACCACACUGGCUGAGCAGGUGAAUCAAAUACUGGGUAGCUACAGGAGCAAUCCAAACCCAGGCCACCAGGGGUUUCUGAAAAACCUCUGCAGCUAUUCUUUUAUAAUACUCCAAUGCAAUGUGGCUCCAUUUAAAACACCUGUACAAGCUGGUUGGCAGUAGCUCAUGCUUGUUGUUAAAAUGACGAAAGUUUUACUCAUUUUUAAAACUACAUUAGUAACAGCUUCAUAGAAAUGUAAGUAAUUACAACACGUUUGAACGGAUAGAACCCCACAUAUUCACCUGUGCUAAAUUUCUGCUCAACGUGGCAGAGAGUGGAGGCCAUCAAGGAACCUGUGAUGAUAUGUACUAGCCCCUACCCCAGCACAGGCUAGAGCAGCAAGGGGGCUGUACACCAACUGGGCAUAGCUGGAAUGUAGCAGGUUCCAGUUGUUCCUCUAAAAUGCCCCCUACACUGAAAGUUUACCCCUCAUACUGGGUGGAUUCUCAGCUGGCCAGAUUCGGCUGCCUUCCAGUCUGUGCACCGCAAGAGUGACAAAAAAGGGGCCAGAAUGCCCCAAAGUAUUUGGCCCAUAAUGUGAAAAUGGACGGUCAAUUUUUAGGCCUGCCAACCAUCCUUUUAAAGUUAUUUCAUGAUUAAAGGAGUGUUUCAAAGAGCAGACAAUUUUUAUCAUGUUAUUUUACAUAAUGUACAAUAAUUUUAACAGUCCAGUUUGGCAAUAACCCAGUCACCGUCAAAAAGGUUCUUGACAUGAAUUUAUGCUUGAGUAAACUAGCUGAGAUUUUUAAAAUUGUAUGUUUCUAUUAAACUCCAAUAUAAAAUACCACGUAAAAACAGAAUAAUAACUGUUAGUCACCUUCAGACUGGAAUUUGUAUUGCCUGGUGGUUUAAAUAAAACAGGAAUAUACUUUGUAUUUUAUGCA
ensembl:lncRNA